UUAGUCAGCUGGGGACUAGGAGGGCUUCCCAGAGAAAAUUACAGUGCAUUUGGGCUUUGAAGGAAAGAUAGGUGAUGUCCAUUUGAAGAGAUCAAUAUGUUGGACCGAGCUUGGCAUCUGGAAGUUUUUGUUUGGUUAGUCUGCUGCUAAUUGGAAUUGCUGCGUGGGGCAUUGGCUUCGGGCUGAUUUCCAGUCUCCGAGUGGUCGGCGUGGUCAUUGCAGUGGGCAUCUUCUUGUUCCUGAUUGCUUUAGUGGGUCUGAUUGGAGCUGUAAAACAUCAUCAGGUGUUGCUAUUUUUUUAUAUGAUUAUUCUGUUACUUGUAUUUAUUGUUCAGUUUUCUGUAUCUUGCGCUUGUUUAGCCCUGAACCAGGAGCAACAGGGUCAGCUUCUGGAGGUUGGUUGGAACAAUACGGCAAGUGCUCGAAAUGACAUCCAGAGAAAUCUAAACUGCUGUGGGUUCCGAAGUGUUAACCCAAAUGACACCUGUCUGGCUAGCUGUGUUAAAAGUGACCACUCGUGCUCGCCAUGUGCUCCAAUCAUAGGAGAAUAUGCUGGAGAGGUUUUGAG
rnacentral:lncRNA from 10 species